rnacentral:rRNA from 1 species
GAUGAACGCUGGCGGCGUGCCUAAUACAUGCAAGUCGAGCGAACAGACGAGGAGCUUGCUCCUCUGACGUUAGCGGCGGACGGGUGAGUAACACGUGGAUAACCUACCUAUAAGACUGGGAUAACUUCGGGAAACCGGAGCUAAUACCGGAUAACAUAUUGAACCGCAUGGUUCAAUAGUGAAAGACGGUUUUGCUGUCACUUAUAGAUGGAUCCGCGCCGCAUUAGCUAGUUGGUAAGGUAACGGCUUACCAAGGCGACGAUGCGUAGCCGACCUGAGAGGGUGAUCGGCCACACUGGAACUGAGACACGGUCCAGACUCCUACGGGAGGCAGCAGUAGGGAAUCUUCCGCAAUGGGCGAAAGCUUGACGGAGCAACGCCGCGUGAGUGAUGAAGGUCUUCGGAUCGUAAAACUCUGUUAUUAGGGAAGAACAAAUGUGUAAGUAACUAUGCACGUCUUGACGGUACCUAAUCAGAAAGCCACGGCUAACUACGUG